UAGGGAAUAUUGCACAAUGGGCGCAAGCCUGAUGCAGCAACGCCGCGUGAGGGACGACGGCCUUCGGGUUGUAAACCUCUUUUGGCAGGGAAGAAGCGAAAGUGACGGUACCUGCAGAAAAAGCACCGGCUAACUACGUGCCAGCAGCCGCGGUGAUACGUAGGGUGCAAGCGUUGUCCGGAAUUAUUGGGCGUAAAGAGCUCGUAGGCGGUUUGUCGCGUCUGCUGUGAAAACCCGAGGCUCAACCUCGGGCCUGCAGUGGGUACGGGCAAACUAGAGUGCGGUAGGGGAGAUUGGAAUUCCUGGUGUAGCGGUGGAAUGCGCAGAUAUCAGGAGGAACACCGAUGGCGAAGGCAGAUCUCUGGGCCGUAACUGACGCUGAGGAGCGAAAGCAUGGGGAGCGAACA
rnacentral:rRNA from 1 species